UACGUAGGGUGCGAGCGUUGUCCGGAAUUAUUGGGCGUAAAGAGCUUGUAGGCGGUCUGUCGCGUCGACCGUGAAAACCCGCGGCUUAACUGCGGGCUUGCGGUUGAUACGGGCGGGCUAGAGUUCGGUAGGGGAGACUGGAAUUCCUGGUGUAGCGGUGAAAUGCGCAGAUAUCAGGAGGAACACCGGUGGCGAAGGCGGGUCUCUGGGCCGAUACUGACGCUGAGGAGCGAAAGCGUGGGGAGCGAACAGG
rnacentral:rRNA from 1 species